rfam:Enterobius vermicularis genome assembly, scaffold: EVEC_scaffold0001692
AUCAAGGUUUUUAUUAAAACCAUCUAUAUUACUAGAAGAGUGCAG